UACGAGAGGCCCAAACGUUAUUCGGAUUUACUGGGCUUAAAGAGUUCGUAGGCGGUCCAGAAAGUUGGGUGUGAAAGCCCUCGGCUCAACCGAGGAACUGCGCUCAAAACUUCUGGACUUGAGGGAGAUAGAGGUGAGCGGAACUGAUGGUGGAGCGGUGAAAUGCGUUGAUAUCAUCAGGUACACCGGAGGCGAAGGCGGCUCACUGGGUCUUUUCUGACGCUGAGGAACGAAAGCUAGGGGAGCAAACGGG
rnacentral:rRNA from 1 species